UACAGAGGGUGCGAGCGUUAAUCGGAAUUACUGGGCGUAAAGCGUGCGUAGACGGUUAUGUAAGUUAGGUGUGAAAGCCCCGGGCUCAACCUGGGAAUUGCAUUUAAGACUGCAUAGCUAGGGUGCGGAAGAGGGAAGCGGAAUUUCCGGUGUAGCGGUGAAAUGCGUAGAUAUCGGAAGGAACACCAGUGGCGAAGGCGGCUUCCUGGACUAAUACUGACGCUGAGGUGCGAAAGCGUGGGGAGCAAACAGG
rnacentral:rRNA from 1 species